rnacentral:rRNA from 1 species
GUGGGGAAUUGUUCGCAAUGGGCGCAAGCCUGACGACGCAACGCCGCGUGGAGGAUGAAGAUUUUCGGAUCGUAAACUCCUGUCGAAUGGGACGAAUGGCUCGGCCGUGAAUAACGGCCGGGAAUGACGGUACCGUGAGAGGAAGCCCCGGCUAACUCCGUGCCAGCAGCCGCGGUAAUACGGGGGGGGCAAGCGUUGUUCGGAAUUACUGGGCGUAAAGGGCUCGUAGGUGGCCACCUAAGUCCGACGUGAAAUCCCUCGGCUCAACCGGGGAACUGCGUCGGAUACUGGGUGGCUUGAAUCCGGGAGAGGGACGUGGAAUUCCAGGUGUAGCGGUGAAAUGCGUAGAUAUCUGGAGGAACACCGGUGGCGAAGGCGGCGUCCUGGACCGGUAUUGACACUGAGGAGCGAAAGCCAGGGGAGCAAACGGGAUUAGA